rnacentral:tRNA from 1 species
GGGCUCGUGGUCUAGCACGGUAUGACGUUUCCUUGACGUGGAAAAGGUCACCAGUUCGAAUCUGGUCGGGCCCA